ACUAUUUAUUGAACUACAUAACUCCAAAAGAACUUGGAUCUGGGCUACAGGCUGUUGAGCUCAAUGGCAAAUGACUCACCAGGAAAUCCUCCUCAGCUCAUCUUCCAGGUGCUGAAAGUGGAGGGUCAGGAACGCUGUGUCAGCACCAGCAAUGUAAACACGCUUCUUGACGUACCACUGAGGACAGAUCAUACCGGUGCGCUUUGUAACACCAAGGCUCUCUCUUCUGGCUAAUAAAUGUAACCUGAUCAAUCUGUCCUCCCAAGUCGCGUUUUCUGGAUUUCCAACGCCGCUUUCUAUUUUGACAAUGAACCAUUGAUAACUGUUCUCCAGGUACAUAUAUCCAAAGCCUUGUCCCCCGCCUCCAACAGUUUUAUCUAGGCCCAUGUUUCCCUCACCUGAUUAGGAAAGUGAAUAUGAGACAGUGUCAAAGCCUGCAAGCGCCAG
rnacentral:lncRNA from 1 species